rnacentral:rRNA from 1 species
CUUGGUCAUUUAGAGGAAGUAAAAGUCGUAACAAGGUUUCCGUAGGUGAACCUGCGGAAGGAUCAUUAUUGAAAUAAACCUGAUGAGUUGCUGCUGGUUCUCUAGGGAGCAUGUGCACACUUGUCAUCUUUGUAUCUUCACCUGUGCACCUUUUGUAGACCUUGGGUAUCUCUCUGAUUGCUUAGCACUCAGGAUUGAGGAUUGACUUUCUGUCUCUUCUUACAUUUCCAGGUCUAUGUUUCUUCAUAUGCCCUAAUGUAUGUUUAUAGAAUGUAAUUAAUGGGCCUUUGUGCCUAUAAAUCUAUACAACUUUCAGCAACGGAUCUCUUGGCUCUCGCAUCGAUGAAGAACGCAGCGAAAUGCGAUAAGUAAUGUGAAUUGCAGAAUUCAGUGAAUCAUCGAAUCUUUGAACGCACCUUGCGCUCCUUGGUAUUCCGAGGAGCAUGCCUGUUUGAGUGUCAUUAAUAUAUCAACCUCUUUGGUUGGAUGUGGGUUUGCUGGCCUCUUGAGGUCUAGCUCUCCUCAAAUGCAUUAGCUGACAAUAUUUUGCCAAACGUUCAUUGGUGUGAUAAUUAUCUACGCUAUUGACGUGAAGCAGGUUUAGCUUCUAACAGUCCAUUGACUUGGACAGAUUUCUAUUUAUUAAUGUGACCUCAAAUCAGGUAGGACUACCCGCUGAACUUAAGCAUAUCAAUAAGCGGAGG